UAUGUUUAAGUGUAAGAAGCACAUAAGUUUUUGAUUCUUAGGGGGGUAGUUUAAUUCUGCUGAACAUAU
rnacentral:tRNA from 1 species